UACGGGGGGUGCAAGCGUUGUCCGGAUUUAUUGGGUUUAAAGGGUGCGUAGGCGGCCGGAUAAGUCAGAGGUGAAAUCCCGGAGCUCAACUCCGGAACUGCCUUUGAUACUGGCGACCUUGAGGCUGGAAGAGGUUAGUGGAAUUCCCAGUGUAGAGGUGAAAUUCGUAGAUAUUGGGAAGAACACCAGUGGCGAAGGCGGCUAACUGGUCCAGAUCUGACGCUGAGGUGCGAAAGCGUGGGGAGCAAACAGG
rnacentral:rRNA from 1 species